rnacentral:rRNA from 1 species
AUAAAUAACAAUAUAGGGCUCUUUUGGGUCUUAUAAUUGCAAUGAGUACAAUUUAAAUCCCUUAACGAGGAUCAAUUGGAGGGCAAGUCUGGUGCCAGCAGCCGCGGUAAUUCCAGCUCCAAUAGCGUAUACUAAAGUUGUUGCCGUUAAAAAGCUCGUAGUCGAACUUCGGCCUUUGCCGCCCGGUCCGCCUAUUUGGUGUGUACUGGAGCGGUGGAGGCCUACCUCGUGGUGAACGGCUAUGCCCUUUACUGGGUGUGGUCGGGAACCAUGACUUUUACCUUGAAAAAAUUAGAGUGUUCAAAGCAGGCUUACGCCCGAAUACAUUAGCAUGGAAUAAUAAAAUAGGACGUGCGGUUCUAUUUUGUUGGUUUCUAGGAUCGCCGUAAUGAUUAAUAGGGAUAGUUGGGGGCAUUCGUAUUCAAUUGCUAGAGGUGAAAUUCUUGGAUUUAUUGAAGACGAACUACUGCGAAAGCAUUUGCCAAGGAUGUUUUCAUUGAUCAAGAACGAAGGUUAGGGGAUCGAAAACGAUCAGAUACCGUUGUAGUCUUAACAGUAAACGAUGCCGACUAGGGAUCGGACGAGGCUUUUUAAUGACUCGUUCGGCACCUGAAGAGAAAUCUUUAAGUCUAGGUUCGGGGGGGAGUAUGGUCGCAAGGCUGAAACUUAAAGGAAUUGACGGAAGGGCACCACCAUGGUGUGGAGCCUGCGGCUUAAUUUGACUCAACACGGGGAAACUCACCAGGUCCAGACACGACAAGGAUUGACAGAUUGAUAGCUCUUUCUUGAUUUCGUGGUUGGUGGUGCAUGGCCGUUCUUAGUUGGUGGAGUGAUUUGUCUGGUUAAUUCCGAUAACGAACGAGACCUUAACCUGCUAAAUAGCCCGGCCGACUUUGGUUGGUCGCUGGCUUCUUAGAGGGACUAUCAGCGUUUAGCUG